GGAAAGUCGGGGGAGUACGGGCGAGCCGGCCUAGCGUCUGGAAUUCUUCAAUGGGUUAAUCAAGGUUUAGCAGAGCCAAGCUGGACGUGAGCCAUUGUAAAGAAGAGACGCCCUCGUGCCAGAAACCCAAACCUUGAUCUCAGAUUUAAGCACUCUUGGUGAGAAAACUGCACAGAACAAAACAACAACAUUUUCCUACUCCUGUGAACGCAACCAAUGACAGUACGGCUAAAGACCAACCUUGGCCAAUGGGCCACACUUUGGGCCACCCUGAUCUAGGUAAACUUUAGCCCUGUAAACUCACUACACUACUGACCCUGACUGCAUCACCUGCCGAAACGGAACAGCUCCCAACCCUGAUACUGUAAGUACUCUGGUGUUUUCCCCACUCCAACACACCUGAUUCUACUAAUCAACUCAUUAACAAGCCCCUUCUGAGAUGACACAGGUGUGUUAGAGCAGGAAAACAACUCCAAGAUCAGGAACCACUAAAAACACCAAUCCAUAGACUAUUUUCAACGGAUACUGAAUGCUGGAUUCGAGUAUAAACAUAUUAUAUUGCUUUCUACUUUUCAGUUAAGUCUUAUUCUUCAUAUUUUCCUCUUUGUGUUAGACUCAAUGCCACUAUCUUUUUCCUUUUCCCAUGCGUUUAGUCUUUAACUCUUCAGUAAAGCCUUUAAAAUCUACCACCAUCAUUCUUAUUAUUGUAGAGGCUUUGGCUCAGUGAGGUCCUAUCAGAAAGUCACUGGAAAUGCGCUGUAAUGAAGCAGUUUAUCAACAUUCCAGUCACCAGAAUUACUGUCUAGCACACCUAGUCCUCAAGUCAUUAGCGCCUGACACACCUGGACAACUCACCUUUAUUACUACUGACAAAUUUACCAACACUGACAGACUAACUUCAGGAGAAACAAGAGCUGCCGGAACAGAAACAAAAGCUACUUUGUGUUUCAGUUGAUUGUCACCAUCUGUUAUGACCAUGCCCUUUCUGACAUACAGGUAUAAGACUGCUGCGUAAUUUGUAAAGACUUCAGCUUAGCUUCUUAAAACCUCAUGCUGAACACUGACGCAACACUACAAGGAAAGACAUCCAUAAUAAAACACUCUGAAUGUUUACUGUCCUACUUACUCCCGUCUCACAAACUCAGUGGAACAGAACUCUUGAUUGCAACACUCACGAUGUGGAAACCGUCCAAUUCAUAACACGAUGACAAAUCAGGUUACGCAGACAUCUGUUAUAUUUUACUAUUAUAUUUACAUGGAAACAUAUUUAAAGGCAAUGCAGCACUCAUGGCAUUGACAGCAGACCAUACAGUCUUACAGAGCCAGACAUGAACACAUGUAAAGUGAAUACAUGUCUAUGUAAAUAUAGACGUAUGUUUAUAUUUGUAUGUAAUUCUACCAAAUUGACCCAUUUUGAACUUACUUGGACUUUAGACUAAAAUCCCUUUGGUUUGAGUGACACUAUACCUAAAUUAUGUUUAUUUUAUUAAAAUAAAUGAUUGGACAUUCUACACAGUCACUAUCAAAACAAAUCACAACACUACUGAAACCGUGCCAAGCGUUUCGGUAGUGACAAUUUCUGCUUGUUUUGAGCAGUAUUUAAAAACACAGUCAGUACUUGACUAGCAAACACAGCUUUGAACAGCUGUACACACAUAAAAUUGUAAUUUUAUUAUUAAAACACAAGUUGACUUAACUACAGAAAUUGUGCGUGGGUUUAAACUCUGUGUUUCAGUAGUGACAAGAAAAUGUGGGAUAGCAGUUUUGAAUUUUUCAACUUUACAAAAAAAAUCAAACAUUUUAAACAUUGAAAAAAUGAUUAAAGAAUGAACUUUACACUGGAUUAUAUACAUUAAAAAUGUACUAUUCGCAGUGAAAUUCUUAUGGAUUUAAACUGUUCUAUAUAAUGUAAAGCAAACAGCAAAUGGCACAUAUUGAAAUUAACAUUGUAGAAAAGUGCACAUAAUGGACUUACAAAAAAAGGAAAGGAAA